UUUGAGGAUUUGAUCCUGGUCCAGGAUGAACGUUGGCGGCGUGGAUAAGGCAUGCAAGUCGAACGGGCCAGUGCGUAGCACUGGAAUGACGAUCCGCCGGUUGGCGGAUGGAAAUUCCACUGCUAUGCAGUGGCUAGUGGCAAACGAGCUAGUAACACCUUGGUACCUACCUCCGAGAUGGGAAUAAUCUUGCGAAAGCAGGACUAAUACCCAAUGGCGCCAUCGGGUGGCUAAAGGUUCGCAAGAACCGCUCGGUGAUGGGCCUAGGUCCGAUCAGCUAGUUGGUAGGGUAACGGCCUACCAAGGCUACGACCGGUAGGGGAGGUGAGAGCCUGUUCCCCAGCGAGGAAACUGAGACACGGUUCCUACUCCUACGGGAGGCAGCAGUCGAGAAUAUUCCACAAUGGGCGAAAGCCUGAUGGAGCGACGCCGCGUGCAGGAUGAAGCUUUUCGGAGUGUAAACUGCUUUUCUAAGGGAAGAAGCCGGUGCUUCAAAUUCCAAUGCGGAGCAUUGGUUGACGGUACUUUAGGAAUAAGUCACUGCUAACUACGUGCCAGCAGCCGCGGUAAUACGUAGGUGGCAAACGUUAUCCGGAUUUAUUGGGCGUAAAGGGCGCGUAGGGGGCGCAGGCAAGUCCGUAGUUAAAUCUCGGGGCUCAACUCCGAAACCGCUACGGAAACUACCGCGCUAGAGGACGUUAGAGGUAGAUGGAACGCACGGUGUAGGGGUGAAAUCCGUUGAUAUCGUGCGGAACACCAAAGGCGAAGGCAUUCUACUGGGACAACAAACGUGUAGAUACCCUUGUAGUCCACGCCCUAAACGAUGUUCACUAGCUGUUUCGAGUAUCGACCCUCGGGGUGGCGUAGCUAACGCGUUAAGUGAACCGCCUGGGAAGUACGAGCGCAAGCUUAAAACUCAAAGGAAUAGACGGGGACUCGCACAAGCGGUGUGGUAUGUGGUUUAAUUCGAUGGUAAACGAGAAACCUCACCAGGGCUUGAAAUCCCGACGAAGACAGUCCGAAAGGAUUGUUGUCCGCAAGGACGGCGGGACAGGUGCUGCAUGGUUGCCGUCAGCUCGUGCCGUGAGGCGUUCCCUUAAGUGGGGUAACGAGCGCAACCCCUAUCCGGUGUUACAAGUGUCACCGGAAACCGCCCCCUCUUUUGCAUCCGACGUUUUGUAUGUCGGAAUCAAAAGAGGGGGAGGAAGGCGGGGAUGACGUCAAAUCAGCAUGGCCCUUUGAUGCCCUGGGCUACACACAUGCUACAAUGGCGGAUACAAUGGGAAGCCAAGCCGUAAGGCGGAGCUAAUCCCAUCAAAGUCCGCCCCAGUUCGGAUUGAGGGCUGCAACUCGCCCUCAUGAAGCCGGAAUCGCUAGUAAUCGCGGAUCAGAACGCCGCGGUGAAUACGUUCUCGAGUCCUGUACUCACCGCCCGUCAAACCAAGGGAGCCGGGA
rnacentral:rRNA from 1 species